rnacentral:rRNA from 1 species
UACGUAGGUGACAAGCGUUUAUCCGGGAAUACUGGGCGUAAAGCGCACGCAGGCGGCUGCGUAAGUCUGACGUGAAAUCUCCCGGCUUAACCGGGAGCGGUCGUUGGAAACUAUGCGGCUUGAGGCGAUGAGAGGGGUGUGAAUUCCGGUGUAGUGGUGGAAUGCGUAGAUGAUCGGGAGGAACUCAGGUGGCGAAAGCGGCACCCGUGGCAUUAGCCUGACGCUCAGG